rnacentral:lncRNA from 1 species
GUCAGGGUCUGUGGGUGUUGUAUGGAUUCACCCCGUGCUAGGAAGGUAGGGAAGACAAAAUCAAAAGCAUUCAUCCAAACCAAGCCAUUUCAGGUUCAGGCCAGUUGGAGUAGCUGAAUACAGACACAGAGAUGCUACUUAAGGACAAGAUGAAGUAAUGAGAGAGCAGAGGGAGGAGGAGAUGCAAGAGAGAAGACAAGAAUUUGUUAGAAUAUUUAAAGAGCUCGGUCAUAGACAUCAAGUGCAUCUUGUCCUGGUCUUUCAGUUUGAACAUGAGGAUAAAAUAUGGAAUCACCAGGGUCAGAACAGAGCAAGGGCAAAGGAAGCCAAAACUCAUUAUCAGCAACUAAGUUUCCAAAUACUGAAUAGUUUGUCUGUCCUUGUUAGGCCUGUUUUCUAGAUUUAAAAAUAGCCAAGAUUACUCUUCAAUCAACACUUGCAAAUUAUGAUCUGGCAGUGACCUGUGCGGAGCAUUCUGCAUGUCUGUGCUGUUUGGGUGGUCACAGAUUUACGAGUUUUCCUGAAUGCCUCCUGGAUAGCUGGGAGGAAGGCCACGGUUCUUUUAGGCACAUAAAUAAAUGCCAGUUGUGGUAGUGGCA